rnacentral:ncRNA from 1 species
CCCGCUGAACUUAAGCAUAUCGCUAAAUGAAGGAAAGGAAAUCAACCAGGAUUCCGGAUGUAAAGUUGAGUGAAUCUGGCGAAGUCCAACGCUGAACCUUGUCGGCCGUGCCGGUUGUCGAGAGCUGUGGCGCAAGGGACGUACACUCGAUCGGGGCUGCUGAGAGCCGGUAACGAUCGGCAGUGUUCUUUGGCCUGAGAGUUGAGUUGCUUGGGAACGCAGCCCACUGUGGGUGGUAAGCUCCAUCCAAUAUUAAAUACGGGGAUGAGUCCGAUAGCCGACAGGUAUCCCGAGGGAAAGCUUAAAAGAACGUUGGAAAAAGAGUUCAAGAGACCCUGAAACCGCACAGGGGUAAACGGGUAGAACCAUUCACCGCGAUCGCGAGGGGACUGGUGGUGGCUACUCGUUCCGAGGAUGGUUGUCUUCAGUCUCGACGGCACACGAUAUUCAGGGUGCCGGUAUCGGACGGACUUCUCCCAUUUGUCGUUUCGAACCGUUCUCGUCGGGACAGUAGGCGCGUGGCGUCCGCCUUCUGAUCGCAGGGCAGCGCCCCGCAGUUACUGGCUUUGGCCGGUCGAUAGGAUCCACACGCUUAUAUCGACCGGGCCGUUAGAACAAAUACUUUUUAGGGAUUGACCAGUUGCUCAUAUUUGGUUUAUUGUGAGUAAGUUUAGAUUAAAUUUAUUUAUUAUCAAAUCGUUUUUACUUUUACUAAUACAUGCAUAAAUAUCAUGAUACAUCAUAUUGCUUUUGUUAACAUUUUGGUUUCGUUUCAUAUUUUAAUAUAU